rnacentral:rRNA from 1 species
UUGAUCCUGGCUCAGGAUGAACGUUGGCGGCAUGCUUAACACAUGCAAGUCGCACGGAGAAGCCCUUCGGGGCUAAUCAGUGGCGCACGGGUGCGUAACACGUAGGUGACCUGCCUCCCAGGGGGGGAUAACCAUCGGAAACGGUGGCUAAUACCGCAUGAUCUGUGGGUGCUUUGAAAGCCCACAGCAAAGUUCUGGCGCUGGGAGAGGGGCCUGCGGCCUAUCAGGUAGUUGGUGGGGUAACGGCCUACCAAGCCGACGACGGGUAGCUGACCUGAGAGGGUGGUCAGCCACAGGGGAACUGAGAGACGGUCCCCACUCCUACGGGAGGCAGCAGUGAGGAAUAUUGGGCAAUGGGGGCAACCCUGACCCAGCAAUGCCGCGUGCAGGAGGAAGCCCUUCGGGGUGUAAACUGCUUUUGUGUGGGAGGAGCAAGGACCGUACCACACGAAUCAGUCACGGCUAACUACGUGCCAGCAGCCGCGGUAAUACGUAGGUGGCGAACGUUAUCCGGAAUUACUGGGCGUAAAGGGUCCGCAGGCGGACGCGCCGGUCUGAUGUGACAGCCCGUGGCUCAACUACGGGAAGCCAUUGGAUACCGCGCGUCUUGAAUCAUGCCGAGGUCGGUGGAAUUCCCGGUGUAGUGGUGGAAUGCGUAAGAUCGGGAGGAACCUCGAAAGCGAAGGCAGCUGGCUUAGGCACUGAUUGACGCUAGGGACGCGAGCGUGGGGGAGCGAACAGGAUUAAAUACCCUGGUAUUCACGCCGUAAAACGAUGUGNUGUCUCGGGUGUGUGNUCCGNUAAGGGCUGCGCGCUCAGCUAACGCGUAAGCACACCGCCUGGGGAGUACGCCCGCAAGGUAAAACUCAAAGGAAUUUGACGGGGGCCCGCACAAGCAGCGGAGCGUGUGGUUUAAUUCGAUGCAACGCGCAGAACCUUACCUGGGUUUGACAUGCUGGUGGUAGGAAGCGGAAACGCGACCGACCCUCGGGAGCCAGCACAGGUGCUGCAUGGCUGUCGUCAGCUCGUGUCGUGAGAUGUUGGGUUAAGUCCCGCAACGAGCGCAACCCCUAUGCUGUGUUUUACGUGUCACAGCAGACUGCCCGCCGCAAGCGGGAGGAAGGUGGGGAUGACGUCAAGUCAGCAUGGCCUUUAUGUCCAGGGCGACACACACGCUACAAUGGCGCGUACAAUGGGCCGCGACCAGGCGACUGGUAGCAAAUCUCCAAAGCGCGUCUCAGUUCGGAUUGGAGUCUGCAACUCGACUCCAUGAAGGCGGAGUUGCUAGUAACCGCGCGUCAGCCAUAGUGCGGUGAAUGCGUUCCCGGGCCUUGUACACACCGCCCGUCACGUCAUGGGAGUCCGUAACACCUGAAGUCGGGUAGGCAACCGCAAGGAGCCGCCUGCCGAGGGUGGGACGGGUGACUGGGACGAAGUCGUAACAAGGUAGCAGUACCGGAAGGUGCGGCUGGAUUACCUCCUU